rnacentral:rRNA from 1 species
AGUGAACGCUGGCGGUAGGCCUAACACAUGCAAGUCGAACGGCAGCACAGGAGAGCUUGCUCUCUGGGUGGCGAGUGGCGGACGGGUGAGGAAUACAUCGGAAUCUACUCUGUCGUGGGGGAUAACGUAGGGAAACUUACGCUAAUACCGCAUACGACCUACGGGUGAAAGCAGGGGACCUUCGGGCCUUGCGCGUUUGAAUGAGCCGAUGUCGGAUUAGCUAGUUGGCGGGGUAAAGGCCCACCAAGGCGACGAUCCGUAGCUGGUCUGAGAGGAUGAUCAGCCACACUGGAACUGAGACACGGUCCAGACUCCUACGGGAGGCAGCGGUGGGGAAUAUUGGACAAUGGGCGCAAGCCUGAUCCAGCCAUACCACGUGGGUGAAGAAGGCCUUCGGGUUGUAAAGCCCUUUUGUUGGGAAAGAAAUCCAGCUGGCUAAUACCCGGUUGGGAUGACGGUACCCAAAGAAUAGGCACCGGCUAACUUCGUGCCAGCCGCCGCCGUAA